GAUGAACGCUGGCGGCGUGCCUAAUACAUGCAAGUCGAGCGAACAGACGAGGAGCUUGCUCCUCUGACGUUAGCGGCGGACGGGUGAGUAACACGUGGAUAACCUACCUAUAAGACUGGGAUAACUUCGGGAAACCGGGGCUAAUACCGGAUAACAUGUUGAACCGCAUGGUUCAACAGUGAAAGACGGUCUUGCUGUCACUUAUAGAUGGAUCCGCGCCGCAUUAGCUAGUUGGUAAGGUAACGGCUUACCAAGGCAACGAUGCGUAGCCGACCUGAGAGGGUGAUCGGCCACACUGGAACUGAGACACGGUCCAGACUCCUACGGGAGGCAGCAGUAGGGAAUCUUCCGCAAUGGGCGAAAGCCUGACGGAGCAACGCCGCGUGAGUGGAGAAGGUCUUCGGAUCGUAAAACUCUGUUAUUAGGGAAGAACAAAUGUGUAAGUAACUAUGCACGUCUUGACGGUACCUAAUCAGAAAGCCACGGCUAACUACGUG
rnacentral:rRNA from 1 species